GAUGAAGAACGCAGCGAAAUGCGAUACUUGGUGUGAAUUGCAGAAUCCCGUGAACCAUCGAGUCUUUGAACGCAAGUUGCGCCCGAAGCCAUUAGGCCGAGGGCACGCCUGCCUGGGCGUCACACGUCGUUGCCCCCCCAUCUACUCCUUCGGGAUUGCGGGGGGCGGAUGAUGGCCUCCCGUGCGCCUCGUCGCGCGGUUGGCAUAAAUGCCAAGUCCUCGGCGACGCACGCCACGACAAUCGGUGGUUGCGAAACCUCGGUUGCCCGUCGUGUGCGGUCGUCGCGCAUCGAGGGCGCGAAAAAAUUGCCGGGCUCCGGCUCGGCUUUCAACGCGACCCCAGGUCAGGCGGGGUUACCCGCUGAAUUUAAGCAUAUCAAUAAGCGGAGGA
rnacentral:misc_RNA from 1 species